UACGGGGGGGGCAAGCGUUGUUCGGAAUUACUGGGCGUAAAGGGCGCGUAGGCGGUCCUUCAAGUCAGGCGUGAAAGCCCCGGGCUCAACCUGGGAACCGCGCUUGAGACUGGCGGACUCGAGUUCGGGAGAGGAUGGUGGAAUUCCCAGUGUAGAGGUGAAAUUCGUAGAUAUUGGGAAGAACACCGAUGGCGAAGGCAGCCAUCUGGAUCGACACUGACGCUGAGGCGCGAAAGCCAGGGGAGCAAACGGG
rnacentral:rRNA from 1 species